CCUUCCUCAGCGGGGCGAUGCUAGUCACCGUCACUCGAGCAGGCUGAAGACCGCAAUUCGGCUUUUUGGCUGCCUUGCAGGUUUUGGUGUUGCUACAGUCUCUUUGCUUAGAUGGCUGAAAGGUCUCACCUGCCCUUACCACAGUGUGGGGUUGGCGAGGAAAUCUGGCCGUUCCCGUGUGAUUACCAUGCUGUCUGCUUUACAUUGUUUUCUUUUGUGUCUUGCCCUCUGUUACAGUUCUGCACAAGUUGCUGUCAACAUUUGUUUUGGAUGUUACCUAAAAAUCCAGCAGAAUGACUCUUUCGGUUCAGACUGAGAGAAGGAAAAUGUGUUAUAUCCAAGUACCCCCUUCUACUUUGCUAAGUCGAGAGUGAAGCUGUUUGAAAGCAAAGUCACUGACAACAGAAUUCCUGGCAUGGAAACACAAGACAAGCCACGCCAUUCCAUGCCAGUUCUUCCUGCUUGUCUUGCCACGUCCUAGACAGUAUCUUUGAAAGUAGCCAGAAUUCAUAAAUGAACAGAGGAAUACAAGUGAACCUGGAAGAAAAGAAUCUCAUGAUUGCCACUGAUCACAAGGAAGAGAAGACUUCAAACUGAGGGAGCUGCUGAUCAGUAGGGUAAUUGUGUAAUUACUUGUCCAACUGUUAAAUGGCUUCUGAUGAAAAUAUCUCUGCCUAGACAGGCUGUAAUCUGACUUCUCCCAGAACAGAAAUACUAUCCCAAAACUCCUAACAAGAGGCAUAUAAGGCACCAUACUCUAUAGGCAUCCUUGUAACACCAAUCCAUUAAUUUGUUGUAAUGAAAACCAAUGUGCUAAUGAAAGACUCCUAGCACAGCAGCAAAACUGGCACUGCAUUUUUUUUUCAAGAAUCUGUGCAAGAAUCCUCCAUAUUAUUGAUUCAGAUUAUACAACACUACUAGACCCUUUCUUUGCUUACUUUUCAAAAAAGAAGUUACAUUUACUGCCAUGCCAACAUAAGUAAUACUGAUGAGCUGGUGCUGAUUGGGAAGUGGUUUCAUCAAUGAAAAUGAGUUCAAAUGUAGGCUUGUAUGGCAGUGCUGCUAUGUCUAUAAUUGAAUAAAUAGUAAGUGUGCUGUAGGACAAUUUUACCAUUGGAUAGUAAAUGGUAAAGAGAAAACAAUGGGAAAGAAAAGAGUGUUAUGGACUUUUCCUGUUUCAUGGCUCUUUUAAAGUCCAUCCAAAGGAGCUGCUGUGCCACAAAUUCAUUAGUCCCCUAAAACCACUGAGCCAUAAAAAAGUUCUCACACCUUUGUCCCACUUUUCCUUUCCCUCUGCAGGGAUCAGAGGGUUCUUUGCUUUCAUCCCCAAGAGCCCUGGUAUGCUUGUAGAAAGAGUCUCAGACCUGUACAAACCUUAGUGUGUCCUUGGUAAAGAACCUGACUCACAUACCCCUUCCCACUCCAGCCUUGGGAAUGUUUCCUCCUCCCCCUCAAAGAAACAUUGGGAGGUUAAGCAAGAGCAGCAGCUUCCCAACAAUUCUUAACUCCUUGAGAGCUGAAGUCCUUGUUCAGGCUUGCUGAGUCUAGAACGAGGAGCUUGGAAGGAGUUCUGACAAACUUACGAAAUCCUGACGAAUCAGAAGACAUUUCCUUUUCCUCCUUCCCUGCUUCCAUCAGUUAUUGUUCUUCACUGCCUCUUGCACAAGCCCAAAAAUAUCCUGAAAAUUAAUGUCUUUUGUUGGCUGCAGUUAGACUGUGCCGAAACAAGACUUAACAGCACAGAUUUUCAGGGAGCUAGUUCCAUGGUUUAUGCAGCAAAUAAAUAUAGGAGAUAUUAAUUAAAAUGUUUGUUUACCAAGUUGAUCUGCAGGAUAUGCAAAUCUGAGGAGAUGACAUUCCAUAAAAAGAAAGAGCAUACCCUUCCUUUCUUCCCCACUGUUGGGUGUUCUCCUGGAAAAUGCUGGGUUUUUGUAUUAAUGUUAUGGUUACUUUAAGAAAAUAAAUAAAAAAUUCUGGCAAUAAGUAGCCAAGGCAAACUGUAGUGCUGCCUCUGGAUCAAACAAAGUUGUUUGCCAGUGCAGUGAUCGUUUUAUGAGAACUUCCUAAAACCAGUCCCUCAGAAAGUGGUUAUGGAUGAAAGUAGCAAAAGCAUUAAGUCCAGAGACCUUUAAAUCAGAGGGUAUUUUGAUGCUAUUGGCUACUGGAUCAUGUCUCUUUGGCCCAUUUGCAGAGUUUUUCUAUUUAGUAAAAACUUGGCCAGACAAUGGUAAAUUAAAAAUUAGAUUUGUAACUGGAUCUGGCUAUUAAAAUGCUUUAACAUUAGGAUUUAACAAUCGUAGCUUUGUUUGGAAAAGAAAAAGAAUUAAAUUGGCAAGGACUAAAGGCAAGCUACAACAACAAAAAAAAAAUUGCAGAGCCUCUGAAGUACAGUGCAGUAUGUCAAGGGCUUAAUACAUUACAAAUAAACGUGUGUGUGGCUUACCAUCCUGCCAAAAGAAUUGCAAUAGCAACCCAACCCUCCAAACAGAGCUUUACAAAUCAAAUACCAUAGAAAAGAACUUAUAACCCAUCACUCUACUAGAGGCAGAAAUUCAAGAGGCUGAAUUGUAUUAUUACAGGGGCAUAAUAAGGCCUUGGCCACAGAAAAUUUGCUGUUGUUUGAAGUCUGCAGGAGGAUGCAGUUGGAGUGGCAGGACUAGGAUUUCAUUUGUACAAACAAAAUCCAAAAGAAGGUCGAAGUACCCUACAAGAAGACACUAUUUUGAAAAGCAGACACUUGAACUGCUUAGAGGAAGAAUGUAUUUUGUCACUUUGGCUAUUGACCUUGUAAUCCAAAAAAAGCACAAAUUUUUAAAACAUUUUAAAUCAUUUAGAAUUAAUUAGAAAAUAUGGUGUUUGCUUCUCCAAGAGAACUACUCACUCAAUACACUCCAAACAUCACAUAUUUAGAAUGCAAGGAGUUAAUAGAGUUUCAUCUGAUCUGUAAAGUAAAAUAAGCUACUUAGGAUUUUUAUUUCUUACGAGAGGCCAAACAAGAAGACUUACUCAUUUGCAGCCAAAGCUGAGUGACAAGCAGCUCCACCAGUGAGGACACUCUGUUUCUGUAUGGAUCUGUUCUGCAGAGCACACAGGUAAAUAAACAGGGACUCUGAGCCAUCAGUGGGAUGGUUCUGCUCCCUCCCCAUGGAGCAAACCACAGCAUUCCAGCAGAACUCUCACUCAAAUAGCAAGCCUGACAUGCAGAUGCACUUCUCUCCAUAUAAAUUUGUCCACAUGUACAUUGUACACUAUCAAAUAUGUACACAUAGAAAUUCAAAUCCAGGAAUUGGAUAAUCUAGAAGAAUUUUUGGGUUAGCAUAUCUUCUGAGGACUGGACCACACUGCAAAGAUUCUAAUUCUGUAUCUAUGUCAUUUGGGAAUCCAUCUUUCUUUAUUAUUGUGAUGGAAAUCCAUCUUUCUUUAUUAUUAUGAUGGAAAUCCGUCUUUAUUAUUAUGAUGUCUCCAUGCAUAUGUUAGCUCCUUCUAAGUGUCUAUUAGAAAAACAUAAUAUUGCUACUCCUACUGAAUUCUUAUGUAAUUUUAAGUAUUUUAAUGGCCACUUAACUGAAUCCCACAGCAAGCAGUACAGAAAAGGGAGAAAACAGACUUGCUGAAGUCAGUGGAAUAUGCAUUUAACUCUACAUGAGAACAUUGGGGUGCUGUAUGAGACGUGGACAUGGCAAUGAACCAGAUUCUGCCUGCAGAUAUGCAUUCUUUAAUCUCAUUUAUUUAAGUGGAUUUUGCCACAGGCAAAACUUGGACCUGUGUACUCUGAAACUAGAAAUAGUUUUCAUAGUGAUUGAAAGUAUUAACACAAAAUGUGCACAGCAUGAGCCCUAUCAUUAUUAAGAGCUAAGCUUUUAGUGCAAUAAAGUUUUAAUAAAAAAUAUAAAUUUGAAGUAAUAAUGAUUCUUACAAAUUUUGCAUUUUAAAUCCUGGUAAGUAAACAGUGCAUAAGGGUAUCAGGAAACAGCAGUGUGUUGUAAUUCUUGCAACAUUAUUAUGAGUCUCAGGCAUUUACUGUUUUCUCAAAGGCAGUCAUAGAAAUAUGUGAAAGCCUUUUACCCUUAUAUUAAAAAAAGAAGAAGAAAAUGUAUUUGUCAUCUAAAUGAAGCUCAAAAUUAAUUUUUUGACACCUAUAAUUUUUUAAUUUUAUCAUAAUAUAUGUUGCAGCCUGACACAAUAUUUUUGAAUGUAGGCACUUGCCAAUACUAAAAUGUUAUCAUAAGGGCCUUCAUAAGAAAAGAGUUAAUUUCACAAAGCAGCUGAAUGUGUAUUAUAAUAGCUGGGAUUUGUACAUGUAUUCUGGUUUGGGGACUUGGGGAAAGAAGCAAAGACUAGAGCAUCACAGCAGACUGUAAAGAUCUGCUUGAUACAAAGGGAGUGAAUGAGAGAUAUGGAUCAGGUUGAGCAAAGCACUGUUAGUGACUGGGAGAUCUGAGGCUCAGGAGAGGAGUGGAGUCACUUCCAUCUGAACCAGCCUUGAGGGGCUGGCUGUGUGCAGCCCUCCUCCCUUUUCCCUCUGGCCCAAUUCCUGCUUCCACAGGAAGGAAACACACACAGGUCAGUCAAAAGGAAAUCUGAGUGUGCUCCUCCAGCCUGGCCAGUUGUUCAGAAUUGACAUCUGCUCUUCCUUAUAGAAAUGGGUUAUCUGGGCAGUUAACAGUGUCACUGGGAAUGAUCUCCACCAUGUUAGGAUUUAGAUCAAAGAGCAGGAUUUUGUUAAAGGAAGGAGCAGCAUUCUCAAUUUUAAGUAAAAAUUAUUAAAGUUGUAUAUUUUUACUUUUAAUUUAUAAGAAAGUAUCAUUAGGAUGCUCAGGAAAUGAGAUGGGAUCUGUCCAAAUAAAUUUUAGAGAACUGAAGGUGCAUCAAGUACUUUCCUGCAAAAGCUGAGGAGAGCAAUAAUCUCAACAGUUUCUUCAUUCUUCAGACUGUAGGUUAUAAAAAAGUUAAAUUAUCAUAUUAUCAAUAUCUAUGGCAUAAUCUGCUGCUGAUGGAAGUUGAAUUCUCCUCUGAGAGCAAGUGUUUUUCUGGGAAAAUUAUCCUGCAAACAGGACAAAUCAGGUCGUUCCUCACUUCCACAACCUUGUAGGACUGCUGCAGUUUCACUGCAGAGCUGCUCUGCAGGAGGUGGUGGAAGGUAAAGGUCUUGUCCUUAGCAGCUUUUUAUGUAUGUGGAGGUUAUUGUAGUUACCAGAUCAAACAGCUAAAGGCUGUUGUGAAAAUACAGACCUGACAACACUUUGUAGGUGCAAAUGGUUGUGGGUUUGGUGGGAUUUAGCAACAUGCUUCAUCAGCACUGAAUUGCUUGAGUUCAAAAGCUGUACAGGACUUCUGAAUUGUUCCUGAAAGAAUAUGUGAGGUCUGUUGGGAUGAGUCAUUUAUCCAGUGUGUGUUCUCAUCUGAGCUUCCCCAUUAGUCUUAUCCAUUGAUGUUUUUUAUUUUGAGUUUCUUCAUUCAGGUUGGGAUGGUGUUGUCCUGGGCAGCUUGUUACCACAUCAUAAGGAAGCAUUGCCUUGACUCUUCAGUUUGUGGGUUUAGGUAUAUUUUUGUGUUUUAGCAAGCUCUGUGUGUUUGAACACACUAUGAAUGGAGUGGAGACUGGAUUUUUAUGUGUCAGUUCCUCGCAGUGGAACUGCUCAGUGUCUAAAGCUGCAGUACCUGUUCUGCCUGAGAGGCUACUGUCACAGUGGGGCACCUCCAGUCAUCAUCCCAAAGGAGAUUGUUUCCUCUCCCUUUUCACCCACAUGUCCUGUUUUCUUAACUACAAGACCAGCCACCAUUCAAGCUCUGUUAUUGGGGGUUAGGAGGAAGCUGAUGCUGCCCAUUCAAUUCAAAGAAGCUGUGCUGUUUUGGCUUUUUUUAAAAUUACUGAUUUAGAAUCAAAUUCUGCCAUCACUAUGAAUAGUUUGACAACCUGGUACUGUAGCUUUCCAUUUAAGCCCCAAAAGGGUACAUACAUGCAAGUUCAUAGAGUAGCUUUAAGUUUUUCCUUCUCUCUUAGAAGAUAGGCCAUUUCCCUUACAUGAGAAAAGCAGAUUUUUUUUCUAAUCAGGCAUUACAAAGACAGUACCAAACUUCAAAAAGAUAUGGAGUAUUUGAGAACUUUGAGCCUUUUUUGUUGCUGAAUUCUUCUGAAUGAACCAUAGCAAGCUGUUUAUUCUCCUUUCAUUGAAAGCCUAUUCCAUAGGCUCUGAAAUUACAGUUGAAAAAAUAUUUUAUAUCUUUUCCCAUGUUCCUUUAUUAUGCACAAGCUUACUGCCACCAUAGGGUAAUUUACUGAUAAAUUUGAGCACUUACUACCCCAAUUUAUCAAUGCCUUCCCAAAACAACAUGUCACAAUCCUCAUUUCAUUUCAAGAGUAUAUAUUCAUUUCCGCUGGUGUUAAAGCUGGAGUGUCUGUCCAGCUCCCCUUCCUCUCAGGGUUGCAGGUGUUGGUUGCUGACUGAUUCUCCCAGUAACAGGUGAGGAGCAAAGUGAGCCAGAGCUGCUGAGGCAGCUCAGAUGAACAUCCUGGCACUGGCUCUGGGGAUGCCCAAACAUCUCCCUGCCUUGCUGCCUCGACCAGGUGCUGAGUUGGUCCUCACAGCAGGAUAAACAAGGAGUGAAAAGGAACUGCAGCCCUGGAACAGGAGACAGUGAGGCCAUUGAAGGUACACAACACUACUCAUUUUCUCCAGUGAGACUGUACUCUGAGCAAGGAGCUUCUGCUUAUUAGGACAACCAUCAGCAUUUUAAAAAUCAGCCUCAUCUUUGGAGUUAGUCAAACUUAGUGUGUGCUUCAGGUACAGACUUAAGCCAAACAUGCACAGCAAGGACUCCUAUCUCUUUUUUGCAAACCACAAUGUCCUGUAGAGUGUCAGUUUAAUGUCUUCAGCCCAAAACAUGCUGCUUGUGUGCUAACAAAGUGCACUUGCAAAUCGUUGCUAACACCUGAGAAAUAAAAAUUACUUCAGUUCCCCCACUGUUAAAAGUACAACACUUAAAGUAAGAAAAAAACCCACCAAAUAAAACCAAACAAACAAACAAAACAAAAAUUUUAACACUUUUUUUACCCAUAAGUAAGAGUCCAGUUUUGAGUGAGGGUGUGGUGAAGUUCUGAACCCAUAUUCAUGUGCAUGUUGAAUGCCAUAAACUGCUCAUUGCAUUCUGUGCAGGAUGAUUCACUUUUUCCAACUACUUCAGUGUUGCACAUAUGGAAUCUGUUGUAUAUUGUCAGCCAGUGCUGCACUAUGCCUCAUCCCCUUGUGUAUGUAAACCAUUCUGAGUAGUUCAGCCAUUCCUGUAAUAUCCUUAUUUCUGCAGUGUUCUACUCAGGAGAGAGAAGGCAAGGCUUUUUGAUAUUUUAUUUUGCAAUCUAAGUAUGGGAUCUAGUAAUAUAUUAAAGUUUAUCAUAACAGCUACUCCAAGAACACAGGACUUUAUCUGAUGCUAUGUUAACUUGGACAGUUUGACUUCAAAGCACUUAGCUUGUGAUCCUAAAAUUGUUCCCUUUAGAGAGUGUGUGUUCUGCUUUGGGUUUUCUUAGCUAUAAUAAAAUCAUCUCUGAGCUUUUUAAUCCCCUGCAAGUUUUGAGUGUCACAUUUGUAGAAGAUAAAAGCAUCUUCCUGUGGCAUAAGGUCUUCUCAUCUGCCUUAACCUUUCAGUGUUUGGCAAAUGGGAUGAAAGCUUUUAUUUGCAUCCAAACAAAAGUUUAAAGCAGUCAACUGUCAAUAAAGCUGCUGGCAGCUGUUCCAAAAUCUUUGGGACAGUUUAUAGAUAGCCAAGGCUGAUUGGCACUGCUGCUGAAUUCCUGAGGAGGGUGGAAUUGCAACCAGAUCCAGUGGGUGGGUUGUGAGGAACAAGGGGGCCACGUGGAUGUGCAUGUUCUCCUUUCUUCUGACAUCUAACCCAGGACUACAGCAAGCUCUUGUUUUUUAUUCAAACCUUUGGAUGUUGCAGUUUUUAGUCUUUUUAAAGUUCUUUUUUUUGGUCUAUACUGGAAGCAAAAGCAGCAUCACCUCUCAGAUUAAGCCUGGUUUUCAAAGUCUGUGUGAAUAGCUUUUGCAGCCUCCUUCCUUUGGUUAUGUUUGUGACAGGCAAAGCACUCCCAACUUAUUGUAGCUGAGUCCAAACAGGGAUUCAUAAAUAUAUGCCAUAAAUUAAGGCAUAGCAUAAUGAAACAACUCUUAAAAUGUUGAAUCACUUGUGCUGAAAACAUUGAAGACCAGGGCUGGAGAGCCAUUCCCUCACUCUCCUCCCUCACAUGACCUAAAACCAGCCUGACAGGUGAGAAACAGGCUUUCUGGUGUGGUUUUUUUGCCUGCUUUGAUAGUGCCUGCAGCCCUGCCAGGUGCAGGGUGUGGCUGCAUGGGAGCUGAACUGCCUUGUGCUGAGUUGUUUAUCUUUGCUGGGAAACCUGCCCCUACCAACCUGUGGUAGGGAACGUCGAGCUUAGACAUUGUGCUCAAAGAAGACCACCUGUGGUGAAAGGAGUCGCAUCUGCUGCAGUGGAGGUGUAUCAGUUAAUACAGUAUAAUUAAACCCAUAAUGAAAAAAUAAGGAUCUAUCCCUUUGGAAUAUACCUUUUGGUUUGUUCUCUCCUAAUGGCUAAGUGUAAAUAUUAUGGGCUCCAGUAGCAUCUGAGUGAAUAAUGCUCUCCACCCUUCCAAAAGCAGAAUUGUUACUUUGUGAACUUUCUAUACUUCCUACUGUUUUUUGCAUUUUUAGAAUAAGUAGUGAUGUUGGGUUUGGAGGGUUUUUGUGUAUAUCUAAAAAAUACCACAGCCUUGACUAACUAAGACUAACCUUGAAGGCCACAUUUGCCAGGCCCAUGACCAGCAGUACAUCCAACUGAAAAACAAUUCCACUGUAUUAAAGUCUGUACUAAAGUACUGCAGGACCUUUACUGUUAAACGGGAUAUUUACAUGUCAGUAGAUAUUGGGAUGCAAAAUUUUUAUUUCAUAAACAAAUUAAGUUUUAAUAUAAACAGACUUCCAGGUUUUGUUGUGUUAAUGGGCUUGAGGACAUUGAUACCAGCCCUGAGGAAGAAGACGUGGGGGUGUUGGUGGAAGAGGAGCUCAACCUGACCCAGCAAUGUGAUCACAGCCCAGAAAGCCAAAUGUGUCUGGGCUGCAGCAGAAGGGGACUGUGCCCUGUGCUCCACUCUGCUGAGGCCCCACCUGCAGAGCUGCCUCCAGCCCUGGGCCCCAACACAAGAAGGAUGUGGAGCUGUGGAAGCAAUUCCAGAGGAGGCCAUGAAGAUGCUCAGAGGGCUGGAGCACCUCUGCUCUGGAGACAGGCUGGGAGACUGCGGGUGUUCAGUCUGAAGUAGAGAAGGUUCUGAGGAGACCUUAGACCUCUUCCAGUGCCUAAAGGGCCUCCAAGAGGCUGGAGAGGGACUUUUGGUGAGGGUGAUAGGGAAGGAUAACCUGAUAGGAAAACAGGUAACAGCUUUAAAGAGGGAAGUGUUGGAUUUAAAUAUAAGGAAGAAAUUCUUCCCUGUGAAGGUGGUGAGGCACUGACUGGCACAGGUUGCCCAGAGAAGUUGUGGCUGUCCCAUCCCUAGAAUUGUGCUUGGAGAAGCCUGGCCUAAUGAAAGGUGUUGUGACUAUAUGAUCUUUAAGGUGUCUCCCAACCCAAACCAUUCUAUGACAGGAGAUUCUUUUUUGUGUGUGUGUGUUCUCUGCCUUAUUUGUGUCCCAUCUCCCCCUCAGUUUCUUAUUUCAUCUCUCAUGGAAAGUUAGGAAUACAUUAGAAUAAAAGUUUUCAUUUCAGAAAAGAGAAAGAAAAGCAUUCUCAUUUUUCUUUUCAGAAACAUGGGGAAAGCAGCCUUAUAAGUUCAUUCCCAGACAUAUAAAACACUCUUAUAAAUGACUUUAUAUAGUGUGAGGAACUGCAGGAGCCUGUUUCUUUUGAAAUCUUGCAGAAUGCAGUAUUGCCUUUCAGAUCUUGAUCUUGCAGUGGAAUACUAAUGUGAACACUUCUGGAGAAUUUUCAUAAUGGCUUUACCUAAAAUGACUGCUUUACAUAGAAUA